rnacentral:rRNA from 1 species
AGUGAACGCUGGCGGUAGGCCUAACACAUGCAAGUCGAACGGCAGCACAGUAAGAGCUUGCUCUUACGGGUGGCGAGUGGCGGACGGGUGAGGAAUACAUCGGAAUCUACUUUUUCGUGGGGGAUAACGUAGGGAAACUUACGCUAAUACCGCAUACGACCUACGGGUGAAAGCAGGGGAUCUUCGGACCUUGCGCGAUUGAAUGAGCCGAUGCCGGAUUAGCUAGUUGGCGGGGUAAAGGCACACCAAGGCGACGAUCCGUAGCUGGUCUGAGAGGAUGAUCAGCCACACUGGAACUGAGACACGGUCCAGACUCCUACGGGAGGCAGCAGUGGGGAAUAUUGGACAAUGGGCGCAAGCCUGAUCCAGCCAUACCGCGUGGGUGAAGAAGGCCUUCGGGUUGUAAAGCCCUUUUGUUGGGAAAGAAAAGCAGCAGGUUAAUACCCCGCUGUUCUGACGGUACCCAAAGAAUAAGCACCGGCUAACUUCGUG